GAGAGAGUUCAAGAGUACGUGAAACCGUUUAGGGGUAAACCUGAGAAACCCGAAAGGUCGAAGGGAGAAAUUCAUCGCGUUUCGCGGUAGACGGCGAGCGGUCGCGCGACGGAAGGACGUUUACGCUCUUUCGCGCCGUCAGUUCGUCGAAUUUGCCGCGAACGCGUGCACUUUUCUUCUGGUAGGACGUCGCGAUCCGUUGGGCGUCAGUCUACGGCUCGAGGUGGAGCCCGCCCGUCGCUCUCAUCAGCGCACGGACGGACCCUCGUGUCCCGGCUGACUCGCUCGACGGUACACUCGAAAGGUUAGGGGCCGCUCCUCUGCGAGCGUUCGGCUCGCGGCAAGCGCGUCAGACGUGUCGGCGAUCGGACCCAGUGCCGAUUCCGACCUCUGGCGACUGUUGGCCGUCGAAGUUCUCGAACAGACCGGUUGACCGAUCUGCGACGCUAUAGCUUUGGGUACUUUCAGGACCCGUCUUGAAACACGAACCAAGGAGUCUAGCAUGUGCGCGAGUCAUUGGGAAUCGCUAAACCUAAAGGCGCAAUGAAAGUAAAGGUCUUCCUCGCGAAGACCGAGGGAAGACGAGCGGUUUACCGUUAAAAGUGGCCGUUCCGCACUCCCGGGGCGUCUCGUUCUCAUCGCGAGAAGAGGCGCACCAAGAGCGUACACGCUGGGACCCGAAAGAUGGUGAACUAUGCCUGGUCAGGACGAAGUCAGGGGAAACCCUGAUGGAGGUCCGUAGCGAUUCUGACGUGCAAAUCGAUCGUCGGAACUGGGUAUAGNNNNNNNNNNNNNNNNNNNNNNNNNNNNNNNNNNNNNNNNGGGCGAAAGACUAAUCGAACCAUCUAGUAGCUGGUUCCCUCCGAAGUUUCCCUCAGGAUAGCUGGCGCUCGUCGCGCACGAGUCUCAUCCGGUAAAGCGAAUGAUUAGAGGCAUUGGGGUCGAAACGACCUCAACCUAUUCUCAAACUUUAAAUGGGUGAGAUCUCCGGCUUGCUCGAAUUUAUGAUGAAGCCGCGAGACACGGAUCAGAGUGCCAAGUGGGCCAUUUUUGGUAAGCAGAACUGGCG
rnacentral:rRNA from 1 species